rnacentral:rRNA from 1 species
CCUACGGGAGGCAGCAGUUGGGAAUAUUGGACAAUGGGCGAAAGCCUGAUCCAGCAAUGCCGCGUGAGUGAUGAAGGCCUUAGGGUCGUAAAGCUCUUUUACCCGGGAUGAUAAUGACAGUACCGGGAGAAUAAGCCCCGGCUAACUCCGUGCCAGCAGCCGCGGUAAUACGGAGGGGGCUAGCGUUGUUCGGAAUUACUGGGCGUAAAGCGUGCGUAGGCGGUUAUUCAAGUCAGAGGUGAAAGCCCGGGGCUCAACCCCGGAACGGCCUUUGAAACUAGGUAGCUAGAAUCUUGGAGAGGUCAGUGGAAUUCCGAGUGUAGAGGUGAAAUUCGUAGAUAUUCGGAAGAACACCAGUGGCGAAGGCGACUGACUGGACAAGUAUUGACGCUGAGGCACGAAAGCGUGGGGAGCAAACAGGAUUAGAUACCCUGGUAGUCCACGCCGUAAACGAUGAUAACUAGCUGUUCGGGUACUUGGUAUCUGAGUGGCGCAGCUAACGCAUUAAGUUAUCCGCCUGGGGAGUACGGUCGCAAGNUUAAAACUCAAAGGAAUUGACGGCUGAGAACGUGCGAGAGACACGAGGAGAGG